rnacentral:rRNA from 1 species
UACGGGGGGUGCGAGCGUUGUCCGGAUUCAUUGGGCGUAAAGGGUGCGUAGGUGGCGCGGUAAGUCGGGUGUGAAUCUCGGAGGCUUAACUCCGAAAUUGCAUCGAUACUGCCGUGCUCGAGGACUGGAGAGGAGACUGGAAUAUGGUGUAGCAGUGAAAUGCGUAGAGAUCAUGAGGAAGACCAGUGGCGAAGGCGGGUCUCUGGACAAGUUCCGUGACACUGAGGCACGAAGGCCAGGGGAGCAAACGGG